CCUACGGGGGGCUGCAGUGAGGAAUUUUCCGCAAUGGGCGAAAGCCUGACGGAGUAAUACCGCGUGCGGGAGGAAGGUCUAUUGACUGUAAACCGCUUUUAUUAAGAAAGAAUUCUGACGGUACUUAAUGAAUAAGCCUCGGCUAACUCCGUGCCAGCAGCCGCGGUAAUACGGAGGAGGCAAGCGUUAUCCGGAAUUAUUGGGCGUAAAGCGUCCGUAGAUGGUUUUGUAAGUCUGCUGUCAAAGCACAGGGCUUAACCCUGUAAAGGCAGUGG
rnacentral:rRNA from 1 species